rfam:Pongo abelii chromosome 1.
GUCUCUGUAGCGCAGUUGGUUAUCACGUUCGGCUGUUAACCAAAAGGUUGAUGGUUCAAGCCCACCUGGGGACG